rnacentral:rRNA from 1 species
GACGAACCGUGCGAACGUUGUUCGGAAUCACUGGGCUUAAAGGGCGCGUAGGCGGGCUGACAAGUCUGGGGUGAAAUGCCGCGGCUCAACCGUAGAACUGCCUUAGAUACUGUCGGCCUCGAGGAAGGUAGGGGCAUGCGGAACUGUAGGUGGAGCGGUGAAAUGCGUUGAUAUCUACAGGAACUCCGGUGGCGAAAGCGGCGUGCUGGACCUUUUCUGACGCUGAGGCGCGAAAGCUAGGGGAGCAAACGGG